UCAGUGAGGCCUUCGGACUGGCCCAGGGAGGUCGGCAACGACCACCCAGGGCCGGAAAGUUGGUCAAACUCGGUCAUUUAGAGGAAGUAAAAGUCGUAACAAGGUCUCCGUAGGUGAACCUGCGGAGGGAUCAUUA
rnacentral:rRNA from 1 species